CAGGACACUUCGGUGUUGCUGGCGACCGGCGCACGGGUGCGUAACAUGUAUGCAAUCUACCUUGUACAGGAGGACAUUCUUGGAGACAAGAUAAAUACUCCAUAUUGUCUAAUUAGCGCAUGCUAAUUGGAUGAAAGCUUCGGCGGUACAAGACGAGCAUGCACCCCAUUAGCUAGUUGGUGAGGUAACGGUUCACCAAGGCGACGAUGGGUAGGGGUUUUUAGUGGAAGAUCCCCCACACUGGCACUGAAACACAGGCCAGACUUCUACGGAAGGCAGCAGUAGGGAAUAUUGGUCAAUGGGCGAAAGCCUGAACCAGCCAUGCCGCGUGCAGGAUGAAGGCCCUCAGGGUUGUAAACUGCUUUUGUAUGGGAAUAAAAAGCCCUUGCGAGGGUUAUUGAAGGUACCAUAAGAAUAAGCACCGGCUAACUCCGUGCCAGCAGCCGCGGUAAUACGGAGGGUGCAAGCGUUAUCCGGAUUUACUGGGUUUAAAGGGUGCGUAGGCGGCUUUUUAAGUCAGUGGUGAAAGCCUAGUGCUCAACAUUAGAACAGCCAUUGAAACUAAUAAGCUUGAGUCAAGGAGAGGUAAGCAGAAUUUAUGGUGUAGCAGUGAAAUGCUUAGAUAUCAUAAGGAAUACCAAUAGCGAAGGCAGCUUACUGGCCUUGCACUGACGCUGAGGCACGAAAGCGUGGGGAGCAAACAGGAUUAGAGACCCUGGUAGUCCACGCUGUAAACGAUGAUCACUCGAUAUAUACGCUUAAGUAUGUGUCUGAGCGAAAGCAUUAAGUGAUCCACCUGGGGAGUACGCCCGCAAGAGUGAAACUCAAAGGAAUUGAC
rnacentral:rRNA from 1 species